rnacentral:lncRNA from 1 species
ACUUGGAUCUCAGCACAGAAAUGAUUCUAUGAUCCUCUGGGACACUUAAACUCAUUGAUACAAUGCUGAGUAAGGGAUAAAGUUGCUGUUUUCAGCAGAGUGCAAUAUAUUCAGUGCUAAAAAGGCCUUUUUCACAUUGGUUUGUAGCACAAGAGAUCUGGCUAGGACUGGGAAGCAAUCACUUAUUCAAAAACAUCAAUGCCUUGUCUUCCAACCACGCGGCGUUUGUUAGGAGAAUGAUAAAGGGAACACUACCUGGAAGGCCAUGAUACUGCUCUGUGCUGCAUGUAUGGACAAGAGGUUCAUGCCUUCCUCUUCCAUCUCACUGCAGUCUGCUAAUGUUUGCUUCCAUCUUUUUCUGUAGUGCACUGGAGCUACAGGUCCACCUCUGGGGAUAGCAGCUCACCUGUGGCCGUGGUUGCACCGGGCAGCUUGUGGCAUAGGUUAUGGGAGAAACGUAUCCAUUUUCUCUGGAAUAAUGAAUUUCUUUGACAUCAAAAAAUGUAUGGGAAGGACACUGUAUUUUUCUACAUAUCAGAGUUGUACCUGGGUCUUGCUCACGAGUAAGGAAGCUUGAAGCUCAGAUCAUUCCGAAGUUCCCCCACAACUGUGAUUGUGUGUUUGUGAUACUGCUCAUGUUUUCUGUUUAGAUUGCAGCAGAGUCAACAGCCCAUUCAAAUACCUUAUAAAUCACAAAUGUGUUAUUUUCAAAAGCUGAAUGGUUCUACUAAGCAGAAGCAUGCACAAUUAAGCUUAUGUUCCUGCAU